rnacentral:rRNA from 1 species
CGCUGCGGGUGCUACACAUGCAGUCGAACGAGAAAGUGGAGCAUCCAUGAGUAAAGUGGCGACCGGGUGAGUAACACGUGACUAACCUACCUUCAAGUGGGGGAUAACCUCGGGAAACCGGGGCUAAUACCGCAUAACAUCUCUGGGGCGGAAGAACUGGAGAUCAAAGGAGCAAUUCGCUGGAAGAGGGGGUCGCGGCUGAUUAGUUAGUUGGCGGGGUAAUGGCCCACCAAGACAGAGAUCGGUAGCCGGCCUGAGAGGGCGCACGGCCACACUGGAACUGAAACACGGUCCAGACUCCUACGGGAGGCAGCAGUGGGGAAUUUUGCGCAAUGGGGGAAACCCUGACGCAGCAACGCCGCGUGGAGGAUGAAGUCCCUUGGGACGUAAACUCCUUUCGACCGGGACGAUAAUGACGGUACCGGUGGAAGAAGCCCCGGCUAACUUCGUGCCAGCAGCCGCGGUAAUACGAGGGGGGCAAGCGUUGUUCGGAAUUAUUGGGCGUAAAGGGCGCGUAGGCGGUGUUGUAAGUCACCUGUGAAACCUCUAGGCUUAACCUAGAGCCUGCAGGCGAAACUGCAAUGCUGGAGGGUGGGAGAGGUGCGUGGAAAUUCCCGGUGUAGCGGUGAAAAUGCGUAGAUCUCGGGAGGGAACAACCUGUUGGCGAAAGCGGCGCACUUGGACCACUACUUGACGCUUGAGGCGCGAAAAGCCGGGGGGA